GGAGCUGGUUCCAGGAAAGAAGGGCACAUGAGCAAACAUGAUGGCCCCUUUAUGAGAGGUAAUUUACUGAAAUGCACAGCGAUUACCUGCUCAUCCAGCCCUGAUGUAAUUAAAAAUGGCAGGCUAGGGCCUCUGUUUCCCCCGGCGCUGGCAGAGAAACCCGGGUUUCGACUUGUGAAGCUUGAGGCUGGAUGUGGGAAUUGGCUUGGAGUCAUAGGCGAUGAGAGGGACAUUAGGAUAUUAUCAAGCCCGUGAACUCAACUCCCAAGAAGGACACAGCAGAGCGAGAAAAAAGAUGGAAUAAGAAGGCCUACCUCAUUGGGCUCUUGUGGGUGAGGAGAACUGAAGAGUCUGAGAGCGCGGCACGAGCCAGAGGCUACGGAAAACACUGCCCUCCCACACUCCACCUUGGAGAGACCCAGAAAAGAACAAGCUUCAUUUGAAAAAAAGGAAAACAGCUCAGGCAAUGGGGGUGGCUUAAAGGCACUCUACAGUGUGCAGAUGCCUUCCACUUCUUCCAUCUGCCCUGUCUCUCCAAGAACCCCUAUGGCCCCAGGCUCAGAACCGAGCUGAGUGCAGAAAUGAAAAUCUAUGGCUCUGUGUUCCAAAACGAUGAAGAAUUUCAAGAUGGUGGCAGUGGUAAAAUCCUCCUCCAGGAAAAAUCUGUCCGUGGCCCAAUGUGUAAACACUUGCUGAGUAUUAUGAAACCAGCAACUUGUUCACAAUUCUCCUGAAUUUCUUGGGAAAUUUGAAGUGGAGUACCUGUACCAACAUGAAAUGACAUGAAUUUAAGUGAAGCUCAACAACGAAAAGCAAAAAGAACCAAAGAGGAAGCAACUGAAACAACAUCUGGAUGUAUUUAAAAAUAUACAGUGCCUCCAAAAUCAGGUGUCAUUAAUGAAAAUUCUGAAGAAAUGCCACCGGACAUAGCCAAUGCACCUAUACUAUUGUUAUUCAUUUCCUGCUUUUCACAGAAAACAAUUUUGUUGCAUGGAAGAUUGUGAACUUCAAAGGGCAGAGGGGAAACUCUCCCUUGGCCCCUACCCCUCCAAGGCCCCACUUUUUCGUCAACAAUCCUUGGACGCAGCCGAGGUAUGAACAUAAUAUGGUCCUGAAUGAGGCUGAGUCUUUGGGCGCAGAAGACCCGGGUUAAUAAAAAUAGGAAGGUAAGAAAAGAAAAGAAAAAUCAAGACACAUCAUAGGACUAAAUUCCUAUUAUUUAUCCACUCAGGAUUGACCACCCCUUUGGGCCAGAUAGUUGUACCCCCAUGUACCAGGUGGGCACAUGAAGACACAAGAAGUGCUGUGAUGGUUCAUUUUGCAUGUCACCUUGCGUGGAGUAUGC
rnacentral:lncRNA from 1 species